rnacentral:rRNA from 1 species
AGCGAACGCUGGCGGCAUGCCUAACACAUGCAAGUCGCACGGGCAGGGCAACCUGUCAGUGGCGGACGGGUGAGUAACGCGUAGGUAUCUAUCCUUGGGUGGGGGACAACGGUUGGAAACGACUGCUAAUACCGCAUGAUAACUGAGGUUUAAAGGCGCAAGUCGCCUGAGGAGGAGCCUGCGUACGAUUAGCUAGUUGGUGGGGUAAGGGCCUACCAAGGCUGUGACGUUAGCUGGUCUGAGAGGAUGAUCAGCCACAUUGGGACUGAGACACGGCCCAAACUCCUACGGGAGGCAGCAGUGGGGAAUAUUGGACAAUGGGCGAAAGCCUGAUCCAGCAAUGCCGCGUGUGUGAAGAAGGUCUUCGGAUUGUAAAGCAC